rnacentral:rRNA from 1 species
UACGUAGGGGGCGAGCGUUGUCCGAAUUUACUGGGCGUAAAGAGCGCGUAGGCGGAUUGUUAAGUGAGAGGUGAAAGGUUCAGGGCUCAACCCGAACAGUGCCUUUCAUACUGGCGAUCUUGAGUAUGGGAGAGGCGAGUGGAAUUUCUGGUGUAGCGGUGAAAUGCGUAGAUAUCAGAAGGAACACCCAUGGCGAAGGCAGCUCGCUGGCCUAUAACUGACGCUGAGGCGCGAAAGCGUGGGGAGCAAACAGG